rnacentral:rRNA from 1 species
UACAGAGGUCCCAAGCGUUGUUCGGAAUCACUGGGCGUAAAGGGCGCGUAGGCGGCCUUGCAAGUCGGUUGGUGAAAGCCCGGGGCUCAACCCCGGAGGUGCGGCCGAGACUGCAGGGCUGGAGGCCGGAAGAGGAGGGUGGAAUACCCAGUGUAGAGGUGAAAUUCGUAGAUAUUGGGUGGAACACCGGUGGCGAAAGCGGCUCUCUGGUCCGGACCUGACGCUGAUGCGCGAAAGCUAGGGGAGCAAACAGG